rnacentral:rRNA from 1 species
CUGGGAGCAUCAACAGAGGGUUCGAUUAUGGCUCAGAUUGAACGCUGGCGGGAUGCUUUACACAUGCAAGUCGAACGGCAGCACGGACUUCGGUCUGGUGGCGAGUGGCGAACGGGUGAGUAAUGUAUCGGAACGUGCCUAGUAAGGGGGAUAACUACGCGGAAAGCGUAGCCAAUACCGCACAUACGCCCUUCGGGGAAAGCGGGGGGACCUUCGGGCCUCGCACUAUUAGAGCGGCCGAUAUCGGAUUAGCUAGUUGGUGGGGUAACGGCUCACCAAGGCGACGAUCCGUAGCUGGUUUGAGAGGACGACCAGCCACACUGGGACUGAGACACGGCCCAGACUCCUACGGAGGCGCAGUGGGGAAUUUUGGACAAUGGGGAAACCCCUGAUCCAGCCAUCCCGCGUGUGCGAUGAAGGCCUUCGGGUUGUAAAGCACUUUUGCAGGAGUAAAGAAACGGCACGGGAUAAUACCCCGUGCAACUGACGGUACCUGCAGAAUAAGCACCGGCUAACCACAUGUGCCAGCAGCCGCGGUAAUACGUAGGGUGCAAGCGUUAAUCGGAAUUACUGGGCGUAAAAGCGUGCGCAGGCGGUUCGAAAAAGAAAAAGAUGUGAAAUCCCAGAGCUUAACUUUGGAACUGCAUUUUUAACUACCGAGCUAGAGUGUGUCAGAGGAGGUGGAAUUCCAUGUAGCAGUGAAAUGCGUAGAUAUACGGAGUGAACACCGAUGGCGAAGGCAGCCUCCUGGGAUAACACUGACGCUCAUGCACGAAAGCGUGGGGAGCAAACAGGAUUAGAUAAUUCUGGUGGUCCACGCCCUAACCAUGUCACGACUAGCUGUUGGAAGCCUCCGUGCCUGGUAGCGCGGGCUGACGCGUGAAGCUGACUGCCUGUAGAGUACGGUCGUAAGACAAACUCAAAGAAUUGACUUGGGUCCCGCACAAGGCGGUGGAUGAUGUGAUUGCACUCGAUGCAGCCAUGAAACCUACAUCGUACUUCUGAUACGUCUAUUGAAAUCCCGAGAGAUUUAGAGCUCAGGUGAGUAACCGGAAUCGACAGGCUGAUGGCUGUCGUUGCCGUAAUGUGAGACAAAUGGUUAACUGCACGAGCGCGACCCUGUCAUUAGUUGUCACGAAAGUGCAAUCAAUGAGACUGCCGGUGACAAAUGGAGGAAGGUGGGGAUGACUGUCAAGUCCUCAUGGCUCCCAUGGGUAGGGCUUCACACGUCAUACAAUGGUCGGGACAGAGGUCGCCAACCCGCGAGGGGGAGCCAAUCCCAGAAACCCGAUCGUAGUCCGGAUCGCAGUCUGCAACUCGACGUGUGAAGUCGGAAUCGCUAGUAAUCGCGGAUCAGCAUGUCGCGGUGAAUACGUUCCCUGGGUCUUGUACACACCGCCCGUCACACCAUGGGAGUGGGUUUUACCAGAAGUAGUUAGCCUAACCGUAAGGAGGGCGAUUACCACGGUAGGAUUCAUGACUGGGGCAGUCGUAACAAGGUAG